GGGCCGACGGCGGUGGGCGGUGCGUUGCGCAGGCUCGGGCCUCCCGCUCGCCGCUGCGUUGGGACCGCGCAGCCCGGUGUGUGCAGUGGCCUCAGGGAUCCGGAAAGUCUAGGAAUGAACUUCUAACAUCCAGUAAUGGGGACCUGGAACCUGGGUGUACUAGAGUGCCGCGCGUAGGGCUCCAGAUCGCUGGCUUCUGCGCUUUCUUCCUCUCCAAAGUUGAGUAUCUCCUAUCUGUGUCCUCAUACAUACUACCGCCUGAGGUGCCAUGGCCCCCAAGCCGGGGGCCGAGUGGAGCACAGCCCUGUCCCAUCUGGUGCUGGGAGUGGUGUCUCUGCACGCAGCCGUGAGCACAGCCGAGGUGAGUACACUGGGGCUGAGCAGGGGCGCAUCCCCAUACCUCCCAAACCCCAAGGACCUAGUUUCCUGAAUUAGAGAGAGGUUGGUGGGAAGUACGUCUAAGACCAGGUCUCCAUGGAAGCCCCAAACCCUUUCCUGUUUAAAAGGGUGGCCCCGGCCUCUUUUUCCCACGUGUUCUCCCUUCCCUGUGUUGACAGGCAAGUCGAGGGGCUGCUGCUGGCUUCCUGCU
rnacentral:sRNA from 1 species